GACGAACGCUGGCGGCGUGCCUAAUACAUGCAAGUAGAACGCAGUUGCGAACGGGUGAGUAAUGCGUAGGUAACUGCCCCAUAGCGGGGGAUAACGAUUGGAAACGAUAUCUAAUACCGCAUACUGUGAGAUGGACCUGCGUUGAAUUAGGUAGUUGGUGAGGUAAAGGCUCACCAAGGCGACGAUACAUAGCCGACGUGAGAGGGUGGUCGGCGACACUGGGACUGAUGCACGUGCCAGACUCCUACGGGAGGCAGCCGUAGGGAAACUUUGGAAAUGGGGGGAAGUCUGACCGAGCAACGCCGCGAGAGUGAAGAAGGUUUUCGGAUCGUAAAGCUCUGUUAUUAGGGAAGCGGUAACUAGCCAGAAAGGGACGGCUAACUACGUGCCAGCAGCCGCGGUAAUUC
rnacentral:rRNA from 1 species